UUAGUUGAACCCCCUCAAGUUGGGUAUACCCCAACUGAUGUAUCACAGAUAGAUGGUAGCAAAUAACCAUUGCUGAAAUAUGCAGGUAUGGUCGUUCAGGAAUUAUCUCACCUAAAGUAGAUGUCUAUGCUUUUGGCGUUGUCCUUUAUGAAUUGAUUUCAUCCAAGGAAGCGGUAGUCAAAGAAGAUGGUGUAGAUGAUGCAAGAAGCCUUGUUGCUUUGUUUGAAGAAGCUCAUAAUCAUCCUAAUCCAAUUGAAGGCAUUUCCAGAUUGAUAGACCCCAAACUCCGCGAUAACUACCCCUUUGAUUCAGUCCACAAGAUGGCACAGCUUGCUAAAGCUUGUACAGAGAAAGAUCAUCAAAUGCGUCCAACUAUGAAAUCAGUAGUGGUUGCGCUUAUGGCAUGUUCAUCAUCAACAGAGGAUUGAUAAUUUGAUGUUCUGGUUUGGUCCUGCAGUGUUUCAUGAAGAAGUAUUUCUUGAAAUCAAGAGCUUAAUUUCGACUUCUUUUAAAGAUGUUCAGAGAAAUAUUAAGAAAAAAACUAGUAUUUGACUUCUCAGAUAGUUAUAAGUAAUCUUUUUUGGGACAACCGAAGUACAAUUACACAAUCAUUUAUGAUAUUCUAGUUGUACGUCCAUAUACAAGUUUAUCUUAACAAUGCUCUCGUCAGAAUUGAGGCAUUUUCAAUUAGUUGAUAAUGUGGCUAAAUGACCAGUGACUAAAUAG